rnacentral:rRNA from 1 species
GACGAACGCUGGCGGCGUGCUUAACACAUGCAAGUCGAACGAAGAGCGAUGGAAGCUUGCUUCUAUCAAUCUUAGUGGCGAACGGGUGAGUAACGCGUAAUCAACCUGCCCUUCAGAGGGGGACAACAGUUGGAAACGACUGCUAAUACCGCAUACGAUCUACUCUCGGCAUCGAGGCAAGAUGAAAGGUGGCCUCUAUUUAUAAGCUAUCACUGAAGGAGGGGACUGCGUCUGAUUAGCUAGGUGGAGGGGUAACGGCCCACCAAGGCGAUGAUCAGUAGCCGGUCUGAGAGGAUGAGCGGCCACAUUGGGACUGAGACACGGCCCAGCCUCCUACGGGAGGCAGCAGUGGGGAAUCUUCCGCAAUGGACGAAAGUCUGACGGAGCAACGCCGCGUGAGUGAUGACGGCCUUCGGGUUGUAAAGCUCUGGUAAUCGGGACGAAAGGCCUUCUUGCGAACAGUUAGAAGGAUUGACGGUACCGGAAUAGAAAGCCACGGCUAACUACGUG